AUACGGAGGAUCCGAGAACGUUAUCCGGAUUUAUUGGGUUUAAAGGGUGCGUAGGUGGUUUGAUAAGUCAGCGGUGAAAGUUUGCAGCUUAACUGUAAAAAUGCCGUUGAAACUGUCGGACUUGAGUGUAAAUGAGGUAGGCGGAAUGCGUGGUGUAGCGGUGAAAUGCAUAGAUAUCACGCAGAACUCCGAUUGCGAAGGCAGCUUACUAAGCUACAACUGACACUGAAGCACGAAAGCGUGGGGAUC
rnacentral:rRNA from 1 species